AACGAACGCUGGCGGCAGGCCUAACACAUGCAAGUCGAACGCCGUAGCGAUACGGAGUGGCAGACGGGUGAGUAACGCGUGGGAACAUACCCCUCGGUUCGGAAUAACUCAGGGAAACUUGAGCUAAUACCGGAUAAGUCCGAGGUUUUAAUCGACCUUGGAGAAAGAUUUAUCGCCGGAGGAUUGGCCCGCGUCUGAUUAGCUUGUUGGUGAGGUAAUGGCUCACCAAGGCGACGANCAGUAGCUGGUCUGAGAGGAUGAUCAGCCACAUUGGGACUGAGACACGGCCCAAACUCCUACGGGAGGCAGCAGUGGGGAAUAUUGGACAAUGGGCGAAAGCCUGAUCCAGCCAUGCCGCGUGAGUGAUGAAGGCCUUAGGGUUGUAAAGCUCUUUACCCGGGAAGAUAAUGACGGUACCGGGAGAAUAAGCCCCGGCUAACUUCGUGCCAGCAGCCGCGGU
rnacentral:rRNA from 1 species